rnacentral:rRNA from 1 species
UACAGAGGGUGCAAGCGUUAAUCGGAAUUACUGGGCGUAAAGGGCACGUAGGCGGUGAGAUGAGUGUGAUGUGAAAGCCCCGGGCUUAACCUGGGAAGAGCAUCGCAAACGAUCUGACUGGAGUAUAAGAGAGGGUGGCGGAAUUUCCGGUGUAGCGGUGAAAUGCGUAGAGAUCGGAAGGAACGUCGAUGGCGAAGGCAGCCACCUGGCUUAAUACUGACGCUGAGGUGCGAAAGCAAGGGGAUCAAACAGG